GUGUCAGCAGCCGCGGUAAUACGAACUGUGCAAACGUUAUUCGGAAUCACUGGGCUUAAAGGGUGCGUAGGCGGUCAUUUAGGUAGGGUGUGAAAGCCCCCGGCUCAACCGGGGAAUUGCGCCCUAAACCGGGUGACUGGAGUGAGAUAGGGGUGUGUGGAACUUCCGGUGGAGCGGUGAAAUGUGUUGAUAUCGGAAGGAACGCCGGUGGCGAAAGCGACACACUGGGUCUCAACUGACGCUGAGGCACGAAAGCCAGGGGAGCAAACGGGAUUAGAAACCCCCGUAGUCC
rnacentral:rRNA from 1 species